CCCUUGGUAGCUCAGUUGGAAGAGCGUGAGACUGUAAUUGGAUCUUAUGUAAUGCUUACAAAUGCUUACGUAAUCUCAUCUCAAGGCCACUGGUUCGAGCCCGGUCCGAGGGA